rnacentral:lncRNA from 1 species
UAACUCUUUCAACAUAUUCUGACUCCAUGAAUAUGAAACUUCAGAAAUAGAGAUGAUUAAUCAUGGAGAUGAUUGAAAACUCAGACUAUUUGAUGUAAUUUAUCACAAUAUUUGGUUAUUUUUACAUAAUAUAGAUGGAGCCUAUCUUUCUAAACCUUUGAAAAUACACAUAUGCAUUUAUUUUCUACCAGUUGAUUUCAAAUGGUUUUCAAUAUUUUCAUUUUGUUUGCAGACUAUCAGCCCACAUCAAUGUAAAUAUCAUAUAAUGGGUUGUGCCAUUGAUAAAAUACAUAUUGAAUGUUGAUGGUAAGGCUUAUCUCAUGCCAUUAACAACAUAUAAGUUAUAUAAUUCUAUUUUUCAAGAGUGAGUACCAAAAAUAACUACAGGAAUCAGAUGGACUGAUUUAGUUAUUUCACAGUUUAUUUUUUGCCAUGUGUCAACAGUCCUAGUGAUAUAACUCAUUAGUUUUCUAGAAACAUGUUUAGUAAAGUUGCUAUCUCUUAAAAAACUGUCCAAAAUAUUGUAAAAUUAAGAUUUGGGCUUUUCUCAGGGUGUAGCAUUUAUUACGAUAUUUCAAAAAUGUAGUUUUUCAGUAUGUCUGGCUACUUAAGAAUACUUAAAUACUAAAUAUUUAAACAAAUAAGUAGGUAAAAAUGAAUACAAAGCUAAGGAAAAAUCUGGUAAUAGCAAAGUGUUACUUACCAGAAAACUGAAUUUUUAUAAUUUCACAUGUUUUCUGUUUAACAAAAAAAUCAAUGUUGACCCUUGACUAUUAUCUUAGAGGUUGAUUUAAUAAAAAUCAUUGAUUAACAUUUAGAAAAAAAUUAAUUUACAAAUAUGUUGACAAAUUGCAAAAUUUCCUUUGCAAAUUGUUGGAAAAAGUACUCUUAGAACUUAUAUAUUCGAUUUCAUAUUAAUUUUCAUUUCACCUGGAAUAAAUAUUUAUUGAACAGUCUCAUUUUGAAUAAAAUUGCUAGGUAAGAUACAAAUAUGAGGGUGACUGAGAAAUUUAUUUGUCACAGAGAUAUCUGCAGUAUAUUUAAGAAAAAUAAAAGAUGCAACUAUAUAAGAUACAUGUGAUUCAAUAAAUAUAAUUAAUUGGCUAAACAAUUAUAUUAAGUUCACAAAAGUAAAAAAACUUUUUAUUAAAAAGUUAGGCAUUGAACAUUAUUUGACAGAUGUAUAGUUUUCAAUAUUGAGUGACUGUGCUGAAGAGUGAUACAUUAACAGCAUCACACACAGAUAAAAAGCUGGGUUAUAUAUUAAUAUAUUUUGGAAAUGAAAGUAGUAAUAUUGUUUCAUUGCAAAUGGGCUAUAAGAAUACAAUGAAAGAGGUGCUUACACACAUAAAUGAGGAGUCAUGUUGUUGGGAUUCCUAUGUCAGGGAAUAUAGAAUUAAUUCAUUUAGAUUUAAAUUAAUUUUACCAUGUGGGAUACUAAGAGUGGUACCCAUUUGGAAGUAGAAGGUAAAGAAAUAUAUUAGAGUUGACUAAUUUUUAAGAUUAGAUUUAAGAUCUUUAAGAAGACUGAAAAAAUCCACACUAGGGAAAGAAAUUAAGGUAAUAGAGGAAUAGUGAGAAUCUGCUAGAUAGUACUGUAUUUGAUCUAAGGCAAGUAAAAAGUGUUAAAAUACUUAGAGGCAUAAAAUGAUACAUUCAGAAAUUUUCUUAAUCGUCUAGUCCUAUGGUUUACCAAAUUACUGCACAUUUCAGAUACACCUAGUGAUUUUUUUUUUUCUGAAAACUUAAAGUGCUAAAAACAAUUUGAAUAAUUCAGAGUCUUUGCUCAAGGAACUCAGGAAUCAGUAUAUAUUUAUUAAAAGACCUAAGGUAACAGUAAUUGAGUGUGGACUAGAUACUUGUAAACUACUUAUCCAUUUUAAUCUUAAUUUCACACACAAAAAAACCAAAGAACUCGCGUACCAUUUUCAUAGUCAUAAAGCACAUCAUUGCAUUACAACGUUGAAUCUGUAAGACGGUAGUGCUUUUGGAGAAAUAGAGAAGGCAGGAGAAGUAAUUUGGGGAGGAAUGAUUGGUGGCAAGAAAUGGUGAGUUCCGCUUUAGAAACACAAAUACUCCUGCUAUGAUGAUACAUACAUACACUGCUAAAAGAAGGAAACUCACAUUCUGUAAAACCAUUAUAAAAUUAAAGAGUUUUGAGAAAAGAGGUUUAGGGACGCAGCGCUCAAAACACUUGAAUUUUAUAACCAGACCACCGAUAAGAACUAGUUGGUUCCUAGAGAGAUAGCUUGGCCUGCUCUGACAAACAACUCGGAGUGGUUCAGGGCUGGCCACGGAAUUUUCUUUUUUUUUCUGCUAUGUACAGAAACAGGAAAGCAGGAAUACUGACAGCACUAUAUUUAGACCAGGUCUACCUAGUGCUGGAACAAUGCUUAACAAAGCUUAGUUUUGAGCCUAUGUGCUUCCUGUAAAAGCCAGGAUGUGAGGGCAACUGCUACAAGCUGAGAACCACAGAGUAAAAUAUGAAUGUUUCCGGUGUGAAAGGACUAGUUUGUUUUCAACCCACCUUCUCAUGGAACCAACUAGGAAAUCUAGGUUUACAUCAUCAUUUUCAAUGGAAAGGAUUCCAUUUGGUUUUCAAACUUUAACCUACACCAAAUGUGAACGCGUUUGAGAAUUUGAACUGAAUUGUUUAAGCCAUUUUUGAGUUACGUGAAGUGGAUGCAAUUUGAAUGUGGUGAAGUCUCCGAAGGGUGCUGUCCCUGUCAAUGAAAUAAGAAGCGGCUAGCUGAUGUAGCGUCUCCA